rnacentral:rRNA from 1 species
UAGGGAAUAUUGGACAAUGGGGGCAACCCUGAUCCAGCAAUGCCGCGUGAGUGAUGAAGGCCUUAGGGUUGUAAAGCUCUUUUACCCGGGAUGAUAAUGACAGUACCGGGAGAAUAAGCUCCGGCUAACUCCGUGCCAGCAGCCGCGGUAAUACGGAGGGAGCUAGCGUUGUUCGGAAUUACUGGGCGUAAAGCGCACGUAGGCGGCUAUUCAAGUCAGAGGUGAAAGCCCGGGGCUCAACCCCGGAACUGCCUUUGAAACUAGAUAGCUUGAAUCCAGGAGAGGUGAGUGGAAUUCCGAGUGUAGAGGUGAAAUUCGUAGAUAUUCGGAAGAACACCAGUGGCGAAGGCGGCUCACUGGACUGGUAUUGACGCUGAGGUGCGAAAGCGUGGGGAGCAAACAGG